GAUGAACGCUGGCGGCGUGCCUAAUACAUGCAAGUCGAGCGAACAGACGAGGAGCUUGCUCCUCUGACGUUAGCGGCGGACGGGUGAGUAACACGUGGAUAACCUACCUAUAAGACUGGGAUAACUUCGGGAAACCGGAGCUAAUACCGGAUAAUAUAUUGAACCGCAUGGUUCAAUAGUGAAAGACGGUUUUGCUGUCACUUAUAGAUGGAUCCGCGCCGCAUUAGCUAGUUGGUAAGGUAACGGCUUACCAAGGCAACGAUGCGUAGCCGACCUGAGAGGGUGAUCGGCCACACCGAACCUAAGACACGGUCGAGACUCCUACGGGAGGCAGCAGUAGGGCAUCUUCCGCAAUAGGCGAAAGCCUGACGGAGCAACGCCGCGUGAGUGAAGAAGGUCUUCGGAUCGUAAAACUCUGUUAUUAGGGAAGAACAAAUGUGUAAGUAACUAUGCACGUCUUGACGGUACCUAAUCAGAAAGCCACGGCUAACUACGUG
rnacentral:rRNA from 1 species